rnacentral:rRNA from 1 species
UACAGAGGUCUCAAGCGUUGUUCGGAUUUAUUGGGCGUAAAGGGCGCGUAGGCGGCGGGGCAAGUCGGGUGUGAAAUCUCAGGGCUCAACCCUGAAACUGCACUUGAUACUGCUCUGCUUGAGGACUGGAGAGGAGACUGGAAUUCACGGUGUAGCAGUGAAAUGCGUAGAUAUCGUGAGGAAGACCAGUGGCGAAGGCGGGUCUCUGGACAGUUCCUGACGCUGAGGCGCGAAGGCCAGGGGAGCAAACGGG